rnacentral:rRNA from 1 species
GACGAACGCUGGCGGCGUGCUUAACACAUGCAAGUCGAACGGUAAGGCCCUUCGGGGUACACGAGUGGCGAACGGGUGAGUAACACGUGGGUGAUCUGCCCUGCACUUCGGGAUAAGCCUGGGAAACUGGGUCUAAUACCGGAUAGGACUCCGGACUGCAUGGUCUGGGGUGGAAAGCUUUUGUGGUGUGGGAUGGGCCCGCGGCCUAUCAGCUUGUUGGUGGGGUGAUGGCCUACCAAGGCGACGACGGGUAGCCGGCCUGAGAGGGUGACCGGCCACACUGGGACUGAGAUACGGCCCAGACUCCUACGGGAGGCAGCAGUGGGGAAUAUUGCACAAUGGGCGCAAGCCUGAUGCAGCGACGCCGCGUGAGGGAUGACGGCCUUCGGGUUGUAAACCUCUUUCAGCAUCGACGAAGCAAAAGUGACGGUAGGUGCAGAAGAGGGACCGGCCAACUACGUGCCAGCCGCCGCCGUAA